rnacentral:rRNA from 1 species
GACGAACGCUGGCGGCGUGCUUAACACAUGCAAGUCGAACGGUAAGGCCCUUCGGGGUACACGAGUGGCGAACGGGUGAGUAACACGUGGGUGAUCUGCCCUGCACUUCGGGAUAAGCCUGGGAAACUGGGUCUAAUACCGGAUAGGACCACUGCCUACAUGGGUGGUGGUGGAAAGCCUUUGCGGUGUGGGAUGGGCCCGCGGCCUAUCAGCUUGUUGGUGGGGUGAUGGCCUACCAAGGCGACGACGGGUAGCCGGCCUGAGAGGGUGACCGGCCACACUGGGACUGAGAUACGGCCCAGACUCCUACGGGAGGCAGCAGUGGGGAAUAUUGCACAAUGGGCGCAAGCCUGAUGCAGCGACGCCGCGUGAGGGAUGACGGCCUUCGGGUUGUAAACCUCUUUCAGCACCGACGAAGCGCAAGUGACGGUAGGUGCAGAAGGAGGACCGGCCAACUACGUGCCAGCCGCCGCAGUAAUAC